UACGUAGGGUGCGAGCGUUGUCCGGAAUUACUGGGCGUAAAGAGCUCGUAGGUGGUUUGUCGCGUUGUUCGUGAAAACUCACAGCUUAACUGUGGGCGUGCGGGCGAUACGGGGCAGACUGGAGUACUGCAGGGGAGACUGGAAUUCCUGGUGUAGCGGUGGAAUGCGCAGAUAUCAGGAGGAACACCGGUGGCGAAGGCGCACACCUGGCCCGAUACUGACGCUGAGGCGCGAAAGCGUGGGGAGCAAACAGG
rnacentral:rRNA from 1 species